UUCAAUUACUUCACUUCCGUGCCAGUUUUUGGCUGUAGUUCGAGACCCAUUCGCGAUGAAUGGGUGUGUAUUGGCUGAACCGGAUUGGACAACUACAACACCCACAAUGCACCUCGCAAGGUUACGUAACGUCCCAGCGUCCGUCAGGGAAGCAGUUGACAGCAGUGAAGAGCAGGCCGAAGUGGGUAAACAAAACAAACAUAUGAAGAAAAGACUGAGAACUACCCCAAAGUUUGGUCUUAUUUUAUAUUUAUAUGAUGUUUGACGUCGUUCUAAAGCGACUUGAAACCCGCUGAAGUAGAAAAUCGGUAGCUAAGAGAGGGCGUGCACCUGUCAAAGCUAAAUAGGUUAACGCGGCUAACGUGUGCUCGCUCAGGUUAGCUCGGCCAUGUCGUCCCCCUCCUCUUCCAGGCGCCAGUGGUGCUACCUGUGCGACCUGCCAAAGAUGCCAUGGACCGUGGUGUGGGACUUCAGCGAGGUGGUCUGUCGCGGCUGUGUGAACUACGAGGGCGCCAAUCAGAUUGAAUUCCUCAUUGCGAGUGCCAGACAGUUGAAACGGACUCACGGGAUGCAGGACGGGAACGUUCGGUCACCCGGUCCGUCGCCCAAUAAACACGGCACGACUAGCAGAGGAGAGGCGGUGGCAGACGGGGGCAGACCGCACACCGACCGCUUUGAGAGGGGAGGGAGAGGAGAAGGUGCCGGGUCCGCUAUCCGCGUGCCGCCAAACGGGCUGCACCGUGAUGGGCAGCCACCACCUGAGGUGAACCGGCAGAGCCCUAGCGGGAGCAGGAGACCCAUGCUAGGCGCUGCCAUCCCUCCAAGUCUAGUAACUCAAAGUAUUGCAGGGAUCCCUCAUGGGCUGCUUGCAGGCAUGCCGGCGGGUCUGACCGCCAGGACCGCCCCCAUGAGCAGCCCCAUGAUCUUCCCUGCUCCGGUGUUGGCCGAGAUGAGCCGCAGACAGCUGGGAAUAGGAAUGGGGAUAGGCCCUUACAUCUCAGCUCCGGAGCUCGAGCGGGAGCUGAGUGCAUCCCAGAACCAGUCCAAGAUACAGACGCAGGUCCACACGUCUGUGGCUGGCAGCAGCACUGGCAAAAGCACAGGCCUCCCUUCCUCGUCCUCCUCCAUGGCUGGAGGUGUGAGCCAGACAAGCCCGAAGCCUGCCUCAUCUCCAGCCAGGCAACCACGACCCUUGGCUGCGAGGUCAGGAGGAGAGCCCCUGGGAUCCAGCACCUCUGCAGAAGCAGCCACCACAGCUGCAGCUUUACCCCACAGUGGUGCCUCCGAGCUGGGAUCAGCGUCAGUAAACAACACCCAUUCAACCGGAAACACUCUGUCCUGCACCUUGUGUCACGAGAGGCUGGAAGACACACACUUUGUUCAGUGUCCAUCAGUGCCAGGGCACAGGUUCUGCUUCCCCUGCACCAGAGUGUACAUCCAGAGCCGGCGCGGUGAUGGGGAGGUGUACUGCCCCAGCGGAGAGCGCUGUCCGUUGGAUAACUCUCCCAACAGUCCUCCUUGGGCAUUCAUGCAGGGAGAGGUCUCAACCAUACUGGGCACCGGCGCAGUGGGAGCAGGAGCUGCAUCGGCCGCUGCAUCCGGAGCCGGGACCGGGCCUGGGCCAGGAGCUGCAUCCGGGGCCGGACCUGGAGCUGCCAGUGGAGCCGGAGCUGCAAGUGGAGACGUCACCAUCAAGAAAGAGAGAGAGACGUGAUGAUAAUUUCCACAGAAACCAGGACCCAACACAGCCACAGGCAGGUCCACAGAUGUCAGAGUCCUGUUUUUAGUAGAAAGCAGCAUGCACGUUGUAUCACACACAGGGAGACGUCUGCACUGGACCACUCACAGAUCCAGAAUAGAAGCCACACGCAGUGACCCGAAGUUCAGAAAAAACUCCUUUACAUAGGUUUUAACUCUAUCUACUCACACCGCCCA